rnacentral:rRNA from 1 species
UACGUAGGGUGCGAGCGUUAAUCGGAAUUACUGGGCGUAAAGCGUGCGCAGGCGGCUUUGCAAGACAGAUGUGAAAUCCCCGGGCUUAACCUGGGAACUGCGUCUGAUACUGGAUGGCUUGAGUUCGGGAGAGGGAUGCGGAAUUCCAGGUGUAGCGGUGAAAUGCGUAGAUAUCUGGAGGAACACCGGUGGCGAAGGCGGCAUCCUGGACCGACACUGACACUGAGGAGCGAAAGCCAGGGGAGCAAACGGG